rnacentral:tRNA from 1 species
GUCUAAGUAGUGAAUACUAUCACGCUACCUUUUCGUGGUAGAGAAAAAUAUAAAAUUUCUUAGAUA